rnacentral:tRNA from 1 species
GCAGUGAUAGUUCAGUGGUAGAAUUCUCACCUUCCAUAUAGGAGACCUGGGUUCAGUUCUCAGCCAAUGCA